AGAGGACUGUCAUCUGAGCUCUGAGCACAAACACUGACAUUGUCUCUGUCUGCAGACAAAAGAUCACAUCAUCAUCAUCAUCAUCAUCAUCAUCAUCACUGUGGUGAAACAGACGCUGCUUUACAGAAACACACUUUAAACACACACACACAGUCUUCUUUUGUUCUUCUGAACACAUCUGGACCUGCUUCUCAACCUCAGACCACACACACACACACACACACACACACACACACACACACACAGCAUGCAUGAUGGGAAAUCCAGAUGAUUCUUUCCAUCACUCACAUCAGUUUCUCCAAUGAUCUCAGGUCCUUUAAAGAAAGACAUUUUAAAGAUAAGCUCAGCAGGAUUUUCCAGACUAACAGACUCACACAGCAGUGAUCCUCUCAGUCAUCACUGCGACCCGCGCUCAGUUAUUUUUAUUUAUUUUUCACAAUAAAACAAAGUAAAAAGCUGUGCAGUACAUGUGUAAUAUUCUAACAUCUAAAUCACUAUUAUCAAGCUGCAGUUCCUUUAAUUUUGAAAGUCAGUGACACAAGUGUAACCUUUGACCCCGUGGUCACAUUGGUCACCGACGUGGAGGACUCCAGCCAUGAAACUGUGCAGCCUGAGGAUGAGGUGGCAGCCUACAUGGAGUUCAGAUCCUUUGGAGGUUUGAUGGUGGUGGAAGGAGCAUGCUAACAUGUUUCCUAACCUGGCAGUGAUUGAAUGUUUUCACCAUCCAGUCAAAGAGACGUCCAAUUCAAGAACGGAGAACCAGCUUCAUGUGUGAACACAGCAAUCGCACUCAGGCGCACACCAAAACAACCGGACGGAGACCUUCUUGGAGAGGUGGUCUCGGUCCAGUUACAACAUCACUGUGACCUCAUCACAUGUCCACGUUUGGUCAUGGACUUUCCACAUCCACAUAUGACGUCCAAGGAACCAGUGGGGGCUCUACCCGAAGCCGAGCUCACGAAGAGACAACUCCCCCAGUCAGACUCACUCUCAGGAUCCCUCCUGCAUUCCUGCCUUCAACCCAACACAUCCAUCAUCGCGUGCGCCUGCUACCCAGAAACCCAGCCAUCAUCCCUCAAUCCUCAUCCCUUCAUUCCUCACUCUUCAUCCCUUGAUCCUCACCCUGUGAUCCCUAACCUUUCAUCCAUCUGGCC